AUUGAACGCUGGCGGCAGGCCUAACACAUGCAAGUCGAACGAGUGGCGGACGGGUGAGUAAUGUCUGGGAAACUGCCCGAUGGAGGGGGAUGACUACUGGAAACGGUAGCUAAUACCGCAUACCAUGGGAUGUGCCCAGAUGGGCUUGGCUAGUAGGUGGGGUAAUGGCUCCCCUAGGCGAAGAUCCCUAGCUGGUCUGAGAGGAUGACCAGCCACGCGGGAACUGAGACACGGUCCAGACUCCUGCGGGAGGCAGCAGUGGGGAAUAUUGCACCAUGGGCGCAAGCAUGAUGCAGCCAUGCCGCGUGUAUUAAGAAGGCCUUCGGGUUGUAAAGUACUUUCAGCGGGGAGGCGUUACCCGCAGAAGAAGCACCGGCUAACUCCGUGCCAGCAGCCGCGGUAAUUC
rnacentral:rRNA from 1 species